rnacentral:RNase_P_RNA from 1 species
GCAAGUUAAAGGCAGCUGCUGGUUAAUUAUAUUUUAACUAAGGAAACUCCGCACAUCAAUACAAGACUAUGGCGUUGAAAGACGUAUGCUGAGAAGCAUGACCCUGGAGCAGAAACGACACGGCUUUUAAUGGUAGACGAUGAUACUUGAUUGAGGACAUUAAAAGAAACGGUGAAACGGCCAUUCCAUAGGAUGCAAGAGCAAAGAUGCCGAUAAUCGAUUGUGUAGGCAAGGUAGUUCGCUAAGAUGAAUGCUGCAUGAACAGAAUGUGGGUUACUCUUAACAUGC